rnacentral:lncRNA from 1 species
GGAAAGUCUCAUCCCAUUCGUGUUGUGACACUAAGAUAAGUAUGUAGGUGCUCAUUAAGGGAAUGAGUUCACUGAACACAAUCGAACGAGAGUACUUGCAUGGAGGUCUACUCACAUGUCAAGCAAGUAACUCUAAUGGUUGGAAUAAUGUAAGUAGUCUUUUGACCUGAGGCAUCGUCGUUGUCUUGUGGCUAAGUACUUAAUCUUUGAUUAUGUCAAAGUCACCCCAUUCGCAGAUGUCCACGGCAUAAUUGGGGUUAAGCCACUUAGUCAUGAAGGCAAGUGAAUGCGCAACAAGGAAUCUCUAAUCCUCGGUAAGAGAGGAAGAAUACUCUAAGAUAUGAUUCGGGAAUCUUCGGCCGAAGUAUCGAGCGUAAUAAAGGAAAGCGUUCCUAUACGACUAAAUUGAAUCAUAUAAGAAGGAAUAAUCACAUUAGGGGUUUGACAUAAUACAUCCAUACCCUAGUAAUGUGAUUGAGAGUAUUGUUUUAGAGAAGGAUCGAAUUACAUUGUAAUUCCAACUG